rnacentral:rRNA from 1 species
GAUGAACGCUGGCGGCGUGCCUAAUACAUGCAAGUCGAGCGAACGGACGAGAAGCUUGCUUCUCUGAUGUUAGCGGCGGACGGGUGAGUAACACGUGGAUAACCUACCUAUAAGACUGGGAUAACUUCGGGAAACCGGAGCUAAUACCGGAUGAUAUUUUGAACCGCAUGGUUCAAAAGUGAAAGACGGUCUUUCUUUCACUUAUAGAUUUAUCCGCGCUGCAUUAGCUAGUUGGUAAGGUAAUGGCUUACCAAGGCAACGAUGCAUAGCCGACCUGAGAGGGUGAUCGGCCACACUGGAACUGAGACACGGUCCAGGCUCCUACGGGAGGCAGCAGUAGGGAAUCUUCCGCAAUGGGCGAAAGCCUGACGGAGCAACGCCGCGUGAGUGAUGAAGGUCUUCGGAUCGUAAAACUCUGUUAUUAGGGAAGAACAUAUGUGUAAGUAACUGUGCACAUCUUGACGGUACCUAAUCAGAAAGCCACGGCUAACUACGUG